rnacentral:rRNA from 1 species
CCUACGGGAGGCAGCAGUGAGGAAUAUUGGUCAAUGGACGAGAGUCUGAACCAGCCAAGUAGCGUGAAGGAUGACUGCCCUAUGGGUUUUAAACUUCUUUUAUAUGGGAAUAAAAUGUUCCACGUGUGGGAUUUUGUAUGUACCAUAUGAAUAAGGAUCGGCUAACUCCGUGCCAGCAGCCGCGGUAAUACGAAGGAUCCGAGCGUUAUCCGGAUUUAUUGGGUUUAAAGGGAGCGUAGGUGGAUUGUUAAGUCAGUUGUGAAAGUUUGCGGCUCAACCGUAAAAUUGCAGUUGAAACUGGCAGUCUUGAGUACAGUAGAGGUGUGCGGAAUUCGUGGUGUAGCGGUGAAAUGCUUAGAUAUCACGAAGAACUCCGAUUGCGAAGGCAGCUCACUGGACUGCAACUGACACUGAGGCUCGAAAGUGUGGGUAUCAAACAGGAUUAGAUACCCGGGUAGUC